UACAGGGGGUGCAAACGUUGCUCGGAAUCACUGGGCGUAAAGGGUGCGUAGGCGGGUCUUUUAAGUCAGGGGUGAAAUCCUGGAGCUCAACUCCAGAACUGCCUUUGAUACUGAAGAUCUUGAGUUCGGGAGAGGUGAGUGGAACUGCGAGUGUAGAGGUGAAAUUCGUAGAUAUUCGCAAGAACACCAGUGGCGAAGGCGGCUCACUGGCCCGAUACUGACGCUGAUGCACGAAAGCGUGGGGAGCAAACAGG
rnacentral:rRNA from 1 species